AUGCAGAGGAGGAGCUCAGCGAUGGAAAGCUAACAGACCUUCUAACUGAGGCAGGUGAAAUUCCGUCUGCCACCAGCCGUCUUCGACCCUGUGCUGUAAAUCAACCCAGCAGUUACAACAGGCAGCGACGCAGCCAAAGAAUCCAGAGCAGAGCCAGCAGGAGUGGAGUUCGUACCCCCAACACUCCCUGGCAUGUACCAAAAUACCUCUUAGGAGCAACAAGUUCUGCAGUCACAACAGACCAGCUCAGUAAAUCUCCGUCAAGUCAAACAGAGGAAAAAGAUGGUCCAGACUAGUCUCAGGUCUUUGCUGUCUUAUCUACUGGACGAGUGUGCACGCGUUGUCUCAAGCCUGGCAGUAACAGCCUCAGGAUGGCAGCAUUGUGCUGCACAGAGCUGCAGCCACUGACGCGUGAGUGACGUCAAAACCAAACCUAUCUGCAGCAAGUUCAGCAAAUCAGUGACACUGUGAAAGCCAACACUUUCUGUCCGUGCCGCCACCUGGGUUUGGCUCUGUCUGUGUGUCUGUAGCAGAUUUGCCAUUUUUUUUGUCUGUGAUUUCUGGAGGUUUCUUCCUUGAAAUAUUGUGAAUGGUAUCAAAAGGAAACAUAUAUAGGAAAAGAAAAAUGCACACACAGCCUCUGUCCCUGUCUUACAUUGGACGUCCUCAGUUAUUUUUGAUGCAUUAUGAUGAGAAUAGACACGGCAUGUAGGUGGACUCGGAGCUGAAAGUCUGACUUCAGUAGGGAAGUGCUCAUCUGCAGGACUCCCUCCUCCAUCUCCACGAUGAGCUGUUACCUAGCAACACCAGCCUUGGUGAUUCUGUCACCAUGCGUCCAGCUGUGCCCACGUGGAGACUUCAUCACUCGCACGCUGCCUUUGACACGAGGCUCAUCCGCUCGGAUCAGUUGUUUUUUCAUAUUGGCAGCUAAAGGCGUCUCACUUUUCAUUUGAUUUGUGAAAAGGAGAUGGAAUCAUUCAGAAUGUAACGUUAAAUUU